rnacentral:rRNA from 1 species
AUUGAACGCUGGCGGCAUGCCUCACACAUGCAAGUCGAACGGCAGCACGGGAGCAAUCCUGGUGGCGAGUGGCGAACGGGUGAGUAAAGUAUCGGAACGUGCCCAGUCGUGGGGGAUAACGUAGCGAAAGUUACGCUAAUACCGCAUACGAUCUACGGAUGAAAGCGGGGGAUCGCAAGACCUCGCGCGAUUGGAGCGGCUGAUAUCAGAUUAGGUAGUUGGUGGGGUAAAGGCUCACCAAGCCGACGAUCUGUAGCUGGUCUGAGAGGACGACCAGCCACACUGGGACUGAGACACGGCCCAGACUCCUACGGGAGGCAGCAGUGGGGAAUUUUGGACAAUGGGCGCAAGCCUGAUCCAGCCAUGCCGCGUGCAGGAUGAAGGCCUUCGGGUUGUAAACUGCUUUUGUACGGAACGAAAAGGUUUGGCCUAAUAAGCUGGACCCAUGACGGUACCGUAAGAAUAAGCACCGGCUAACUACGUGCCAGCAGCCGCGGUAA